rnacentral:lncRNA from 1 species
AGCCCCUCCCAGACGCCCCGGGGAAACGGCAUCCCAGAGCUCCGCUCCCUGGAGGCCCCUCCAGAGAGGGACCCGGGGCCCCGCCCCGCAGCUGGAGAAGGGGUGAAUGCCUUUCCUACCUAACGCCUGGUCCGCGGCCCUGCUUGUUGCGUCUCCAAGACCACGUGUCUGCUGCAUUUUAAAAAUAGUUGUGAACAUCUGACUUUCUCCUUUUGCUGGAGUGCAGUGGCACAAUCUCUGCUCACUGCAACCUCGGCUUCUCAGGUUCAAGCGAGUCUCCUGGCUCAGCCUUCCCAGUAGCUGGGAUUACAGGCGCGUGCCACCAUGCCCGGACUGGGUGACAGAACGAGACCCUGCCUAAAAAAAAGAAAGAAAGAAAGAAAGAAGACCUGAAAGGAGAGUCACCAAAAGAAGAAAAACAAUGUCCCCAAGAGUCCACCUCCAAGAGAACAAGCAACUUCCUAGCAGAUGCUGAGGCUUGCAAGACUAAUCUGGGCUUGGAAGUGUUAAAAGAAAAGAUUUUAAUUUAAAAAGCAAAGAAAGGGCCGGGCUCAGUGGCUCAUGCCUGUAAUCCCACCACAUUGGAAGCCAAGGCAGGCAGACUGCUUAAAGCCAGGAGUUUGAGACCAGCUUGACCAACAUGGCGAAACCCCGUCUCUACUAAAAAUUGGCUGGGCAUGGUGGCCUGUCCAUGUGGUCCCAGCUACUUGGGAGGCUGAGAUGGGAGAAUCACUUGAACUGGGGACCCAGAGGUUGCAGUGACUUGAGAUCGCACCACUGCACUUCAGCCUAGGCAACAGAGCAAGACUGUCUCAAAAUAAAAUAAAAUAAAAAGCAAAGAAAGUCCUUGAACCCAUUGGAAACAUCUUUCAAGGAGCAUGAAACCAACCCUUUUAUCACGUAACAAGUAUUAAUGGAAAGACAUGAGACGUUGCAAAGUAUUACUAGAUGCUGGAGUCUAGAGAUUAUCUAUUUGACAUUUAGGCAGAGAGCAAGGAAAAAACACAAAGUACUAAGGAAGCAGGGAGCCUCUCUAAAUGCUGAUAAGACGAUGAACUGCGUUAGUCGGGGAACACUUUGGGAGACUGAGGUGGGUGGAUCAUUUGAGGCCAGGAGUUCAAGACCAGCCUGGUUAACAUGGGGAAACCCAUCUCUACUAAAAAUAUCUCUCAAGGCAGCCUCUUGGUGAGCGAAAGUUCUGAGGCAACCCGGUGGAGGGUUAGAGUUCCCCGAUGGGCAGGCUUUGGUUUGCAAAUCAACUGGUAACCCUCAAGAAGAGAUCCGUCUAGGAGAACAUAUAAUUAGAUGAACUUGCCUUGUAGGCAUCUGCUGAACUGCGAGGUAAAAGGUUAUAUUUGCAUGUCUAAAGGAAUGAGUAGGAAGUGGGAAACUGGGGAACCGGGGAGUGAGAAAAGAAGAGAGAAAAAAAUAAUUAAACCAUCUCUUAGAAAAACGGGGCUACUCAGUUACAAUCCCUCAGCUAAAUACCCCCGGAGUGUGUUUGACCCAGGCUCACAGCCGUCCCUGGUGGGGUUGAGCCCCAGUUGCCCACUGCGGUUAACUCAGACUUGUAGGGCUUUCCUCUCUUCCGGCCUCACUGCUCCCCUUCCUCACUGCCUUUAGAUUUCUGACCUCUACUUGCUGAUUUACCUUGAGCAAUUACUUCAACUCUGUGCUUAGGGACCUCGUUUGUAACAUAGGGUGGUUACAUAGUGGUAACAUAGGUACCUGCUAUGAUGAGGAAAAAAGAAGGUAACAUGCACAAAGUGUUUAGAACAGUACCCGGCAUAUAGUAUGUCCUCAAAAAUGUCAAUCAUGACUACAUAAAUAGAACAAGUACGCAGGCCACAGGAAAUAAAACUCACCCAGCCAGCUUCGGUUUCCACCUCUAUGAAAUGUACAUCAAAAUGCCUAUUUUGAGAGAUCACUGUGAGGGGUACGUUGAAUGACAUAACCUAUGUCAGGUACAAAGCACAGGGCUUGGCCCAGAUGGGGCCACUGCUGGACAAGCUAACUGCUCUAUUUUCAUCAAGCGGCUGUGCUAUCAAGAGAGAAUGACCUCUACCAAGCAAGAAGGGCCAAGAGUUGGGGUGCAGAUGAGACCACUUCUGACUCCCAGGCCACUUCCUCCUUUGUCACUGGAGAAAGGUGCGAUUUCAGGCAGGUCAUGUCCCUUGGGCCUUGGUUUUAACAUCCCUAAAAAGGAGUGAUUGGAUUUGGGGGAUUGCUAAAUGACGUCCUACCGGCUCUAAAGAUCUAGGGAGAGCCCCUGUCCUGAAAUGGACACACACACACACACACACACACACAUUCCUAUACACACAUAGACACACACAUACACACUAUAUACACACAUACAUUCACACAUACACAAUACAUACAUAUACUCACACAUAUACACACAUGCUCAUGUAACUGAUGGGUUUUUCCUUCCUGCUGCACAAAUAAAGAACACACCAUAGCAGUAGGGAAAGAAUUUAAUUGACUUGUAGCCAGCCACACCACACAGGAGAUGGAGUUAUCACUCAUAUCAAUCUCCAAGGCUCAAAGGCAGUUUGGGUAAGGGGUGGGGGUGGCCAGCCAAUGGGUGCUUGCUGCUGAUUGGUUGGAGUGGAGAUGAACUCAGAGGGGGUCAAAGCUGUUGUGUUGAGCUGAGUCACUCCUGGGUGGGGCCACAGGAGUCAUCAGGUCCAGGUGGAGUCAUGGGUGUCAGACAUGCAAAAAAUAUCUGAAAAGAUAUCUCAAAAGGUCAGUCUACAAUAGUGAUGUUAUCUGCAGGAUCCCCCUGGAAUAAUGGCUACACCUUAUCAGAAAUCAGAUUCCUCUUCUCUCCCUAGUCUAAUGGCCUUUCAUCAGCUUUAAAAGGCAGUUGACUUUUGGGGAAGGCCUAGUAUAAUUUAAACUGUAACUUUGGCAGGGUGCUGUAGUUCAUGCCUGUAAUCCCAGCACACUCGGAGGCCAAGGUGGGUGGAUCACUUGAGACCAGGAAUUCGAGACCAGCCUGGGCAACAUGGCAAACCCCAUCUCUAGUAAAAAUACAAUAAAAGUAGCUGAGUGUAGUGGCACGGACCUGUCUCAGCUACUCAGGAGGCUGAGGCAUGAGAAUCACUUGAACUUGGGAGGCGGAGGUUGCAGUGAGCUGAGAUCGCACGACUGGACCCCAGCCUGGGCAACAGAGAGAGACCCUGCCUCUAAAUAAAUAAAUAAAUAAAUAAAUAAAUAAAUAAACGAUAACCUAAAUGUCUCCCAAAGUUAGCUUAGCUUAAGCCCAGGAAUGAUUAAGGCAAAUGCGAGAUGGGGGUGGGUUAGAUUAGAUCUCUUUCACUGCCGUAAUUUUCUCAAUGUUACAAUCUUUGCAAAGGCAGUUUCACUCACACACACACUGCAGAGAGGAAGCCUCUGUGGCCACACUGGGCCAGUCAGUCACCUCUGGAAGCCUUAGUCUCCAGGCUCAGUUGGCCUUGAAAAUCACCCUAGAGAAGAAUAACGUGUCUAGAAAACAUUUCCAGGCACUUCCAUGUGCUGUGCAAAUGCUGUUUUCUUCUUAGGUCCCUCCUCUCCUUUUGUCACUUUGCAAAUGUCUGCAGCUGCCUUGCCAAGUAUGGGAUCAGGUCACAUUGCUCUGCCGAGGGCUGGGCUGGGGCCCAGGAAGCCAGACUCUCCAGAUCUACCUGCCCUGUCCUCCCACCCACCUCUUCCCAGCCCCUGCAAGAAUUCAUUAGCCCGGAGGAAGAAGGCAACAGCCCUUGAGGGUGUUUUACUGGGCUCCUCAAACAUGUCUGCAGCCCUUCCCAGGAAGCUAGGUUGAGAGAAAACUGCAGAACAGAUGGGGCCCGGGAAGGAGGAAGCAUUGGACUGAAGAGGCACAGAGACGAGCCAGGAGAGGGCUGAGUGAUGCAGAUGCAGCCCCUGGGCUGGCUCUAGGCCUUAGACACACACAUGGCAGGCCUUUGCUCAGUGCCCGGACAGCUCCAGUGGGCAGGCAGAAAACUUUCUUGUUUUUCUGUACCUGUGCCCCAUUUCUGAUUCGGAGUUCCUUUGCCAUCAGGCUGGUGGGGAAAAAUAUGUAAUUUCUUUCUUUAUUUUUUGGAGACAGGGUCUCACUCCGUCGCCCAGGCUGGAGUGCAGUGGUUCCAUCUCGGCUCACUGCAACCUCCACCUCAAGGGUUCAAGCAAUUCUCCAGCCUCAGCCUCUCGAGUAGCUGGGAUGACAGGUUCAUGCCCCUGUACCCAGCUAAUUGUUGUAUUUUUAGUAGAGAUGGGGUUUCACCAUCUUGCCCAGGCUGGUCUCAAACUCCUGGGCCCAAGCAAUCCACCCGCCUCAGACUCCGCUGGGAUUACCACCCCACCCGGCCUAAAUAUGUAACUUCUUCCAGGAUUUAUGUCCUAGUUCUGAGGUCUUUGUGCAACAUCACGUGGUAGGAGGAUGGGAUUUUGGUCUUCAGAACACCAUCCAUGGCUUCUGAUGCUGUCCUUGCCCCACCCCCAGGGCCCCUUCAGGGCCAAUGUUUUCUUGUUACUUCAACGUGGUCAGCCUAAAGGAUCUCACUGCCUCCCUGAGAACUGCUCCGGGGCCACAGAUCUCUUGCUCUCUGUCAUUCCUUUCUGGGACAGGAGACCCUGCUGGUUCUGGAGGAGUGUGGGGUCUGGUCUCCCCUCUGCUUCUGGCCAAGGUGCCUUGAGCAUUUGCAUGAAUCUUCUCUUCCCCUUUUCUCGCUUCUAGACACCAGCUUAGUUCCCUAAGGGUUCAGGCCUUUAAGAAAGAGUUUUAGGGUACUCCUCAAUCUGCCCCCGCCCUCAAAGCUACUUGAAUGUGGAAAAGCAAAUGGGAAAAUACAGGGAGAAAAAUGAACAUCAAUGAGUGUCUCAAAAUAAUAUCCUGCCACAUACAUUAUCCCAUUUAAUCUCACCACAAUCCUCUGGGUUGUUUUAUUUUAAUUUAAUUUUAUUUUUUUUGAGAUGGAGUUUCGCUCUUGUUGCCCAGGCUGGAGUGCAGUGGGGCGAUCUUGGCUCACCGCAACCUCUGCCUCCUGGGUUCAAGCGAUUCUCCUGCCUCAGCCUCCCAAGUAGCUGGGAUUACAGGCACAUGCCACCACACCCGGCUAAUUUUGUAUUUUUAGUAGAGAUGGGGUUUCUCCAUGUUGGUCAGGCUGGUCUCGAACUCCUGACCUCAGGUGAUCCGCCUGCCUCAGCCUUCCAAAGUGCUGGGAUUACAGGCAUGAGCCACCGCACCAGCCUACAAUCCUCUGAUGUUAUCCACAUUUUAUAGAUGGGGAAACCAAGGCUUAAUAAGGUCACGUAACUAGCAAUUCUGUGUCCUUCCCAUCUAUACUCCUGAAAACACUGAAGUAGAUCCCAAACUUUUUUUUUUGUACACAGAACUCUUUUCUUUUUUUCCUUCCUUCCUCCCUUCCUCCCUCCCUCCCUCUCUCUCUCUCUCUUUCUUUCGAGAGGAGGUCUUGCUGUGUUGCCCAGGCUGGUCUCAAGUGAUCCUCCCACCUUGGCCUCCCCAGCGUACUGGGAUUACAGGUGCACCCGGCCCACAGAACUCUUUAUUCAAAUGAAUCUCCCUUGAAAAACCUGAAAGUGUGUGUUGCUGCUCUGGUCAAAGGCAACUGGGACGAGGAGCUCAGGGUUUGCCUCCUUAUCUUCACCUCUGGAUGCACCUGUGACACUUCUGUGACUUCACAGGCCCCAAGAGCACAUUUGGAAACCUCUGGGCUGUAUGACCUCCAGGCAGGUUCUGAGGCCAACCCCUCAACUCGCUAUGCAUGGAUUGUGAUACUCCUUGGUGCCCAGCCCAGCAGAUUUCCUUGAAAGAUGCUGGCUUCUUGGCACGUGUAGUCAAAACGUCCCACUUGGUUCUUCCCCAGACUGCUGGGCCCCACUCCUGGAUGGGAUGUCAGGGCCAGAUCCAUGGCUUCCUGAGAGAAUCUGGAGGCUAGCCCACCUCCUGCUGCCCAAUCCCUCCAGUGUGUCCAACAUAAUCAGCCCAAACUGCAUGGGGCCAAUUUAUUUAAAUAAAUGUUAAUCCUGCUCAGAGCUAGAUGAAUGGGGCCUUUGGAAACAGUGCUACAAUUUGUUCCCUGAGGUAAGUCUUUUUUUCUUUUUUGCAUUCAUCUCUUCAUUGAGGCUGCUGCCAUCUCAUCCCCUUCUGAUUCAUAAAAUCAAUAUGCCUAGAAAUGUUCAGCCUGGACAAUACAGUGAGACCCUGUCUGUACAAAAAAUUAAAAAAAAAAAUUAGCUGAGCAUGGUGGUAUGUGCCUGUAGUCCCAGCUACUCAGGAGGCUGAAGUGGGAGGAUUGUUUGAGCCCAGGAGGCAGAGAUUGCAGUAAGCCAGGAUCAUGCUACUGCACUCCAGCCUGGGUGACAUAGAAAGACUCUGGCUCGGAAGGAAGGAAGGAAGGAGUAAUGCUCACAGCCCUUGGGUUUUCGUAGCUCAUCCCUCCAUCCAUCCACUCAUGGGAUAAACAUCAGAUGAACAUCUGAGUACUAGGUGCUGUGCUGAGCCCUUGUCUUCCACAGACAAGGAAGACUCAUCUCUUGUACAGUGCCCAAUUCCCAGUUCCCAGCUCGUGCCUCUGUGCUUUUCCAGCCCUGGGAAAUUGUUGUGGACAUUUGCUGGCACUGGGCCACUCAGCAUUGGUUUCCCCUCACAGCUCUCUGCUCUCCCUUCCCAUUGCCUGCCUCCUGCCAGCACAGUCUUGGUGAGACACUAAAUCGGGGAGCCUUGCCCUCCCAUCCUGGAAGCCAAAGGGGUCUCUGAAGGUUUUCCCUGCCCCAGUUCUUCCUCUCCCUGCCCCAGUGAGACCAAAGCAUUGACACCUGACCUCAAUCCUUCCAGUCAGAGCCCUUCCCAGGACUUUGAAACAAGGUGGGAGAGGCAGUUGACUUCUUCACCACAGCCACACAGCCUGACUGCCAAGAACCUCUCUGCUGCUUCCUGUUCUUUGUCCAGACCUAGUUCUCCAGCCUUCCUGUGGGUUCUGGGCAUCUCCAAAAUUUUCUUUUUAAUUUAAAGACAACCAGAGUUGGUUUCUGUUUCCUGCAGUUAAGGAUCCCUGGCCAGGCACGGUGGCACAUGCC